GAAAUGUGAUGAUCAUGAAAGAGCUGCUAACUCUUUCUCUAGCGGUUAAAAUCCGUUAACAUUUCU
rnacentral:tRNA from 1 species